UAGAUUGGUUCCGCUAAAGCGGGUGCUG
rnacentral:sRNA from 1 species